GGGGUCCGAGUUGUAAUCUGCAGAUGGGUUUUCGGCGAAGGCGCGCGCCCAAGUUCCCUGGAAUGGGACGCCGUAGAGGGUGAGAGCCCCGUACGAGCGUUGCGACCUUGCCAUUACGAUGCCCAUUCGACGAGUCGAGUAGUUUGGAAAUGCUGCUCUAAUUGCGGGGUAAAUCUCCCGUAAGGCUAAAUACCGGCCGGAGACCGAUAGCGAACAAGUAGCGUGAGCGAAAGAUGAAAAGAGCCUUGGAUAAGGGCGUCAAAAAGCAUGUGAAAUUGUUAUGGGGGAAGCGCUCGUCGCCAGACGCGGCGGCGGCCGAUCUUCCGGCGUUCUCGCCGGCGUACUCGGACCGCCGCCGGGCCAGCAUCGGCUGGGGCCGGGGCUCACUGCCGCGGGGAACGUGGCCCUCCCCUCGGGGAGGGUGUUAUAGCCCCACGGCGACGCCCUGUUCCCGGCCGAGGACCGCGAAUUUUUCGAGGAUGCUGGCUUAAUGGCGCCCAGCGACCCGUCUUGAAACACGGACCAAGGAGUUGACCUGCCGCGCGAGUGUACGGGUGCAAAGCCCCUGCGCGUAGUGAAAGCGAACGCUGGUGGGAGCCCUCGCGGGCGCACCACCGACCGAUCCCGAAGCUCGCGGACGGAUUUGAGUAGGAGCGCGGCGGGUCUGACCCGAAAGAAGGUGAACUAUGCAUGAAUAGGGUGAAGCCAGAGGAAACUCUGGUGGAGGCUCGCAGCGGU
rnacentral:rRNA from 1 species